GUACACUCCUGCGGGAGGCAGCAGUGGGGAAUUUUGGACAAUGGGCGAAAGCCUGAUCCAGCAAUGCCGCGUGAGUGAAGAAGGCCUUCGGGUUGUAAAGCUCUUUUGUCAGGGAAGAAACGGUGAGAGCUAAUAUCUCUUGCUAAUGACGGUACCUGAAGAAUAAGCACCGGCUAACUACGUGCCAGCAGCCGCGGUAAUACGUAGGGUGCAAGCGUUAAUCGGAAUUACUGGGCGUAAAGCGUGCGCAGGCGGUUUUGUAAGUCUGAUGUGAAAUCCCCGGGCUCAACCUGGGAAUUGCAUUGGAGACUGCAAGGCUAGAAUCUGGCAGAGGGGGGUAGAAUUCCACGUGUAGCAGUGAAAUGCGUAGAUAUGUGGAGGAACACCGAUGGCGAAGGCAGCCCCCUGGGUCAAGAUUGACGCUCAUGCACGAAAGCGUGGGGAGCAAACAGGAUUAGAUACCCCGGUAGUCCC
rnacentral:rRNA from 1 species